rnacentral:rRNA from 1 species
UCAGUAUGAAUAUACCGGUUCUCGUUAGAUCACCGAAGUUAAGCAUCAUUGGGCGCGGUCAGUACUUGGGUGGGUGACCACCUGGGAACACUGCGUGCCGUU